rnacentral:rRNA from 1 species
GAGGAAUAUUGGUCAAUGGAGGCAACUCUGAACCAGCCAUGCCGCGUGCAGGAAGACUGCCCUAUGGGUUGUAAACUGCUUUUAUACAGGGAGAAUUCCACUACGAGUAGUGGGUUGACGGUACUGUAUGAAUAAGCACCGGCUAACUCCGUGCCAGCAGCCGCGGUAAUACGGAGGGUGCAAGCGUUAUCCGGAUUCAUUGGGUUUAAAGGGUGCGUAGGCGGCGAUAUAAGUCAGUGGUGAAAACAGGAGGCUCAACCUUCUGCCUGCCAUUGAUACUGUAUUGCUUGAGUAUAAUCGACGAGAGAGGAAUGCGACAAGUAGCGGUGAAAUGCAUAGAUAUGUCGCAGAACACCGAUAGCGAAGGCAUCUCUUGAGGUUAUUACUGACGCUGAGGCACGAAAGCGUGGGGAUCAAAC